GAAGCUAAAGAGCAACAAUAUGAUAUAUACAAAAAAGAAGCCUAUGGAUGAAUGUUCUGCAAAACUGACAAUGAAAAGAGACUAGUGGAGUUGAUUGAAAAAUCUAUUAGAAAUCUCUCUUCAAAGUGUGAUUUUGGGCUGCUGAGAAUUUCCCUCCAGAACUCAUCCUGCAAAAACACUUGGAGACUGCAAGAAUGGCCUGGAGGCCUGGAUCUCCAAGAAUUCAAAGGAUUUGCCAGAAGCCCAGAAUGUCUAAUGCUUCUUUUGCCCUGUCAAUGUCAUUUGCUUCCUAAUCACUGGUCACAUUGUCAUAACGAAAAUGCACAUGCUCUCAAUUGCAUGGAAAUCAUAUUUGUUGGAUAUGGAUUUUAUUGCAGGUUGAGGCCUUAGAUAUUACAAUCUUGAAUCCAGAUUUGUGACAAAGCAGCAGAGGCUCUCCACCAGCCCCUCCUCUUAUCGUUCAACCACAACUUCAAGGUGGAAACAACCACACCAUUAGCAUGCCUAGCCCCAAAGUUUCAGCCACCACCUGCACCUGUGGUGCAACCACAGCUAUACAACCAGAAUCUUGAGGGAUAAGUUGCAAUUCCGGGGUGGCAACAAGCGUCCUAAGAUAACUUACCACCCAAUCAACCCAUAUAAAAGUACAUCAGUCAGUACUGCGGAAAGAUGAUUGUAGCUUUGCUUCUUUGAAAAGAUGAUAGUCUCAUGUGUGCAUUGCCCUUUCUUUUAAGCAUAUGCUCUCAAUUUUUUGUCAAUCUAGUGAUAAAUGUUCUUCAAUCACCACUAUUAUCAUCACCGCUAUUGAUUAAGUGGGCCAAGCGAGGGAACGCAGGCUUCAACCUAACCCAGCCCAUUCCAUAUCACAGUCUCUACCCUGAAAACCUUCUCUACCAUCUCAUUCUCAUGCGCCAUAAACUCCAUUCCUCUGCUUUCCCUCCAUUUUUUCUAGGAAAAGAAGCAUAGAAAUUAAAUAGAGAGAGAGAGAGAAGAAUGAUUCGACGCAAACUUCCAUGGAGACUCAAGAAUGAAGAAUGAAUCUGCUAGGCCAUUGUAUCAAGUUGAAUGAGUCGCUUAUUCCAUCAUCAACUUGUUCUUCGGACUUACAAAUUUUUUU
rnacentral:misc_RNA from 1 species